rnacentral:rRNA from 1 species
CCUAUCAAACUUUACUUUAGUUUAACUGGGGCAGUUAAUUAAUAAAAAUUUUAAUAAAGAUUAAGUACUAAAUAGANNNCCCAACANUAGUUGAUUACANUGAACAAGUUACUGUAGGGAUAACAGCGUAAUAUAUAUCUAAAGUUCUUAUUUUGAUAUAAGUUUGCGACCUCGAUGUUGAAUUNAUAUUACUUUCAAGCGCAAGAGCCUGAAAAGUGGGUCUGUUCGACCCCUAAAUAUAUACAUGAUUUGAGUUCAAAUCGGUGUAAACCAGAUUGGUUUCUAUCUAUUNUUAUUUGUGUCUUAGUACGAAAGGACCUGAAACAAUAUUAUAUAAUNAUUUAUAUGGCAGAAAAAUGCUUUAGAUUUAGGAUCUAAUUAUAAUAGAUUAUUAUACUCUAUUUAACUUGCCUAAUCUCUGUUAUUAGAAUCCUUAUCGCAGUAGCUUUUUAUACCCUCCUAGAGCGAAAAAUUCUAAGCUACAUCCAA